rnacentral:rRNA from 1 species
UUAUAGGUAGGGGAGCGUACCGUACUCGGGUGAAGUUUUCACGAAAGUGGUGAUGGACGAUACGGUAGUGAGAAUGUCGGCUUGAGUAACGAAAACAUUGGUGAGAAUCCAAUGCCCCGAAAACCUAAGGGUUCCUCCACUAGGUUCGUCCAUGGGGGGUUAGUCAGGACCUAAGACCAGGCCAAAAGGCGUCGUCGAUGGAAAACAGGUUAAUAUUCCUGUACUAGUUAAAUUAGGAUCUGAGGGACGAAGGAGGCUAAACUAGAACUGUUUUUGGAUUGCAGUGGAAGCGUUUAGACGUUGAGAGAUAGAACAAAAGCUAUCUUGAGUGGAGACGUGAUCCCUAUUUGAUGGUUCGCCGUCGAGUAGCUAGUGAUGUCAUACUUCCAAGAAAAGCUCAUACAUCCUUAAUAAUUUAAUUACCUGUACCUGAAACCGACACAGGUAGGUUGGUAGAGAAUACCAAGGGGCGCGAGAGAACUCUCUCUAAGGAACUCGGCAAACUGGCCCCGUAACUUCGGAAGAAGGGGCGCCCUCUGCAAGGGGGGUCGCAGUGACCAGGCCCAGGCAACUGUUUACCAAAAACACAGGUCUCCGCAAAGUCGUAAGACAAUAUAUGGGGGCUGACGCCUGCCCAGUGCCGGAAGGUUAAGGAAGUUGGUUAUUCCGUAAGGAAGAAGCUGACGACCGAAGCCCCGGUGAACGGCGGUCGUAACUAUAACGAUCCUAAGGUAGCGAAAUUCAUUGUCGAGUAAGUUUCGACCUGCACGAAAGGCGUAAUGAUCUGGGCGCUGUCUCGGAGAGAGGCUCGGUGAAAUAGACUUGUCCCGUGAAGAUGCGGACUACCUACACCUGGACAGAAAGACCCUAUGAAGCUUGACUGUAUCUUGGAAUUGGGUUUGGGCUUUUCUUGCGCAGCCUAGGUGGGAGGCUAUGAAGGUUACCUUCCGGGGUAAUCAGAGCCGUCAUUGAGAGACCACUCUGGAAGAGCUAGAAUCCUAAUGGGGAUCCUUGAAUCAGGACCCUUGACAGUUUCAGGUGGGCAGUUUAUUUGGGGCGAAUGCCUCCUAAAAGGUAACGGAGGCGUGCAAAGGUUCCCUCAGUCUGGACGGAAAUCAGACAUUGAGUGUAAAGGCAAAAGGGAGCUUGACUGCAAGACCUACAAGUCGAGCAGGGGCGAAAGCCGGCCUUAGUGAUCCGACGGUGCCGCGUGGAAGGGCCGUCGCUCAACGGAUAAAAGUUACUCUAGGGAUAACAGGCUGAUCUUCCCCAAGAGUUCACAUCGACGGGAAGGUUUGGCACCUCGAUGUCGGCUCAUCACAUCCUCGGUCUGUAGUAGGUCCGAAGGGUUGGGCUGUUCGCCCAUUAAAGUGGUACGUGAGCUGGGUUCAAAACGUCGUGAGACAGUUUGGUCCAUAUCCGGUGUAGGCGUUAGAGCAUUGAGAGUAGCCCUUCAUAGUACGAGAGGACCUGAAGGGACAUGCCAAUUGUGUACCAGUUCUCACUCCAGUGGGAAACGCUGGGUAGCUACGCAUGGAUAGAUAACUGCUGAAAGCAUCUAAGUAGGAAACUAAACUCAAGAUGAGUGCUCUCUAAGGCCGCGGCUAGACAAGCCGUUAUAUAGGUAUCAGGUGUACAGUCAGCAAUGGCUUCAGCCGAGAUAUACUAAAGGCCGUUUGAUUUUGAC